ensembl:snRNA U6 U6 spliceosomal RNA
GUGCUUGCUCAGCAGCACAUAUACUAAAAUUGGAACGUUACAGAGAAGAUUAGCACAGCCCGUGUGCAAAGAUGACACUCAAAUUAGGGAAGUGUUCCAUUAAAAA